UACAGAGGUGGCAAGCGUUGUUCGGAUUUACUGGGCGUAAAGGGUCCGUAGGCGGCUUAGAAAGUUGAAUGUGAAAUCCCGCAGCUUAACUGCGGAACUGCAUUCAAAACUUCUAGGCUAGAGUAUGAGAGGGGUUAAGGGAAUUCCCGGUGUAAGGGUGAAAUCUGCAGAGAUCGGGAGGAACACCAGUCGCGAAGGCGCUUAACUGGCUCAUUACUGACGCUCAGGGACGAAAGCUAGGGUAGCAAACGGG
rnacentral:rRNA from 1 species